rnacentral:piRNA from 1 species
UGACUUUAGUGACUCAUGAAACCAGGGG